rnacentral:rRNA from 1 species
CAACCCGUCUCUGUUGCAAAAGAGUGGGAAGAUUCCCAAGUAGAGGUGACAAGCCUAUCGAACUUAGAGAUAGCUGGUUGUUCAGGAAAAGAGUCCAAGCUCUACCUUAAGUUUUUUGAUUUAUCUAAACAAACCCCUAGACUUAAGAGCUAUUCAAGUAAGGCACAGCUUACUUGAAACAGGAUACAACCUCCUACAUUGGGUAAACAAGAACAAUUUAAACAAAGUGGGCCUAAAAGCAGCCAUCUUACAAAAAGCGUUAAAGCUUAACUUACACACACUCAUAAUUCCGAUAGUUCUUAUUAACCCCUCAUUGUUACUGAACUAUUUUAUAAUCUUAUAAAAAUUAUUAUGCUAGAACUAGUAACAUGAAAUUACCUUUCUCCUUAAUGUAAGCUUCAACCAUAAUGGAUUAUCCACUGGUAUUUAACGUAACUGUCUUCAUUAUAGCAACAUACUACUAGAAAACCCUAUAACCACUAACGUUAACCUCACACUAGAACAUUACAGGAAAGAUUAAAAGAAGGAGAAGGAACUCGGCAAAUCCCAGCCCCGCCUGUUUACCAAAAACAUCGCCUCUUGAUUAACAUAAGAGGUCCAGCCUGCCCAGUGACAUAGUUUAACGGCCGCGGUACCCUAACCGUGCGAAGGUAGCAUAAUCACUUGUUCUCUAAAUAGGGACUAGUAUCAACGGCAUCACGAGGGCUACACUGUCUCCUCUCUCCAAUCAGUGAAACUGAUCUCCCCGUGAAGAAGCGGGGAUUUAAAUAUAAGACGAGAAGACCCCAUGGAGCUUUAAACUUAAUACACACCUCUACUUACCUACACCAACUAACCCUAAAAGUCUGUGUAUUAGUUUUAGGUUGGGGGGACCGCGGAGUAUAACUCAACCUCCACGACAAACGGGCCAACGCCCUUAUCCAUGAAACACAAUUCUAAGAAUCAAUAAUCUGAUGUUUUAUGACCCGACAAGUCGAUCAACGAACCAAGUUACCCUGGGGAUAACAGCGCAAUCUA